GCCUGGGUGGCUCAGUUGAUUGGGCAUCUGACUUCAGCUCAGGUCAUGAUCUCACGGUUCAUGGGUUUGAGCCCCGUGUCGGGCU
rnacentral:tRNA from 1 species